GUUUUCUGCAGGUGUGUCAGUCCAAACUCAGGCUCAGGAUGGGACACAGCCCAGUGUCAAACUCUCCAAAUGGAGCCUUGGACCUGGGACCAGAAAGAGCAAGGCACCUCCCAGGAGUUGCUUUGGAACUUUGGCUCCAAUUCAUCUAAGGAAUUAGGACCUACCUGUGGUGCCUGUGGAGUGUCACAGUCCAGUUUUACGCCCUUACUUGCUGGUGGUGGACUGUGGACCCACUGGCAGUCCAUAACCUAUAUCUGCCACCAAGGAGCUAAGGCAGACUGAAGAAAACAUGCUUGGCCCGCUUUCUGCCUGUUCACAUCAACUAUGCUAUAGCUACCUGGAACCCACCUGCCCGGAAGCCUCCCGGAAGACCCAGUUAAAAGUGAACCUGGAAUUCCUCAGCCUUUGAGUUAUGCAUGGAAUAUAAUUUCAUUACUUCUGUGGCAUCAAAUCCCCAGGGUGAACACCCGUGUUUUUCAUUCUCUUUUUAUUCUUAGCUUAAACUAAAAUCUCCUCUUCUCUUUUGCUGAGAAACACCUAAGAAUCAUGUCCUUUUUUUUUUUUUUUUUUUUUUUUUUUUUUGAGACAGAGUCUCACUCUGUUGCCCAGGCUGGAAUGCAGUGGUGUGAUCUCCGCUCACUGCAACUUCCUCUCCCAGGUUCAAGCGAUUCUCCUGCCUCAACCUCCCAAGUAGCUGGGACUACCUGUGUGCGCCACCACACCUGGCUAAUUUUUGUAUUUCACCAUAUUGGCCAGGCUGGUCUCGAACUCCUGACCUCGUGAUCCGCUCGCCUCGGACUCCCAAAGUGCUGGGAUUACAGGCAUGAGCCACCGUGCCCGGCUGCAUCAUGUCUUCUUCUCCCAACUCUUCCUCAUAUUGCCUUUUAUAUUCCCAUAACAAUCUGGAUCAUUGUUUUUUGAAAGACUAUUCAUGAAAAGUUAACAUUUGAAAUGUUCUUAAAACAAAAAGAAAAAAAAAUAGGGAAUUGAUAUAGUUUGGCUCUGUGUCAUCACCCAAAUCUCAUGUUGAAUUGUAUUCCUCAAUGUUGGCAGAGGGACCUGGUAGGAGGUGCUUGGAUCAUGGGGGCAGUUUCCCCCUUGCUGUUCUCCUGAUAAUGAGUGAGUUCUCACAAGAUUUGAUUGUUUGAAAGUGUGUAGCACUCCUCCUUUUGCUUGCUCUCUCUUUUCUGCCACCAUGUGAAGAUGUGCUUGCUUCCUCUUCACCUUCCACCAUGAUUGUAAGUUUCCUGAGACCUCCUCCACCAUGCCUCCCGUGG
rnacentral:lncRNA from 1 species